GCCUGUUUUAUCAAAAACAUCGCUCCUUGUCUAAAAAAAAUAGGGAGUCGGACCUGCCCAGUGAAAUUCUUCAACGGCCGCGGUACUCUGACCGUGCAAAGGUAGCAUAAUCAUUUGCCUUAUAAUUGAAGGCUAGUAUGAAUGGUUUGACGAGAAUAUAACUGUCUCUUUAUGAUUUUUAAGAAAUUUAUCUUUGGGUGAAGAAGCCCAAAUAACAUUAAAAGACAAGAAGACCCUAUCGAGCUUGAAAUAACUAGCAUAGACAACCUUACUUUAUAUUAAUAAAAAAUCAGCUACUAAAUAUUUUAGUUGGGGCGACUAAGGAACAAAAAAAGCUUCCUAUAAUUAAAAAAUACACAAAUAUUGAUCCAGAACAUACUGAUUAAAGAAAUUAGUUACCGUAGGGAUAACAGCAUUAUCUUUCUUAAGAGCUCUAAUCGAAAGAAAGGUUUGUGACCUCGAUGUUGGACCAGAAUAUCCCGAAGAUGCAGCAGUCUUCAAGGGUUGGUCUGUUCGACCAUUAAAAUUCUACGUGAUCUGAGUUCA
rnacentral:rRNA from 1 species